UAUUUUUUGUGUCACAGCAAGAAAUUCAUCAGUUCCCCAUGUGGUCCUGCAGCUAAAGGGGCUGGUUCAGCACUUCCUGGGUUCUCAAACAGAGCUGUUCUUUCCAUUGGAAUUA